GGCUCAGGAUGAACGCUAGCGGCAGGCUUAACACAUGCAAGUCGAGGGGUAUGCCGAUUUAUCGGCAGAGACCGGGCGCACGGGUGCGUAACGCGUAUGCAAUCUACCUUCACAGAGGGAUAGCCCAGAGAAAUUUGGAUUAAUACCUCAUAGUAUAGCGGUUUCGCAUGAAACCACUAUUAAAGUUCCAACGGUGAAAGAUGAGCAUGCGUCCAUUAGCUAGAUGGUAAGGUAACGGCUUACCAUGGCUACGAUGGGUAGGGGUCCUGAGAGGGAGAUCCCCCACACUGGUACUGAGACACGGACCAGACUCCUACGGGAGGCAGCAGUGAGGAAUAUUGGUCAAUGGACGCAAGUCUGAACCAGCCAUGCCGCGUGCAGGAUGACGGUCCUAUGGAUUGUAAACUGCUUUUGUACGAGAAGAAACAACAUUACGUGUAAUGUCUUGACGGUAUCGUAAGAAUAAGGAUCGGCUAACUCCGUG
rnacentral:rRNA from 1 species